GACGAACGCUGGCGGCGUGCUUAACACAUGCAAGUCGAACGGAAAGGCCCUGCUUUCGUGAGGUGCUCGAGUGGCGAACGGGUGAGUAACACGUGAGUAACCUGCCCUUGACUUUGGGAUAACUUCAGGAAACUGGGGCUAAUACCGGAUAGGAGCUCCUGCUGCAUGGUGGGGGUUGGAAAGUUUCGGCGGUUGGGGAUGGACUCGCGGCUUAUCAGCUUGUUGGUGGGGUAGUGGCUUACCAAGGCUUUGACGGGUAGCCGGCCUGAGAGGGUGACCGGCCACAUUGGGACUGAGAUACGGCCCAGACUCCUACGGGAGGCAGCAGUGGGGAAUAUUGCACAAUGGGCGGAAGCCUGAUGCAGCAACGCCGCGUGCGGGAUGACGGCCUUCGGGUUGUAAACCGCUUUCGCCUGUGACGAAGCGUGAGUGACGGUAAUGGGUAAAGAAGCACCGGCUAACUACGUG
rnacentral:rRNA from 1 species